UACGUAGGGUGCGAGCGUUAAUCGGAAUUACUGGGCGUAAAGCGUGCGCAGGCGGUUUUGUAAGACAGAUGUGAAAUCCCCGGGCUUAACCUGGGAACUGCAUUUGUGACUGCAAGACUAGAGUGUGUCAGAGGGGGGUGGAAUUCCACGUGUAGCAGUGAAAUGCGUAGAGAUGUGGAGGAACACCGAUGGCGAAGGCAGCCCCCUGGGAUAACACUGACGCUCAUGCACGAAAGCGUGGGGAGCAAACAGG
rnacentral:rRNA from 1 species